rnacentral:rRNA from 1 species
AAGAUUAAGCCAUGCAUGUCUAAGUAUAAACACCUUUAUACAGUGAAACUGCGAAUGGCUCAUUAAAUCAGUUAUAGUUUAUUUGAUAGUACCUCACUACAUGGAUAACCGUAGUAAUUCUAGAGCUAAUACAUGCUUAAAAUCUCGACCCUUUGGAAGAGAUGUAUUUAUUAGAUAAAAAUCAAUGUCUUCGGACUCUUUGAUGAUUCAUAAUAACUUUUCGAAUCGCAU